GGAAAUCAAUCUUGGUAAAUACCACGUGUGAUAACGGAACUGAUCAGAGUAAUUAUGUCACACUGUAUCCUUGUUUUUCAUGUUUCAUGGCAAAUGUCACGCACAACGACACACACGCCUUUUUUAUGUGCAAACACAGUUUCUUCAACGUGUCAAAGCAGAUAAGUAUUAUUGAUUGGGCUGAUGGGGUCCCUGUCGAAACAUGCAAAUGGAACGAGAGUACAUCAGCAACUGAAUGCAAUAUCCAAAACCACGGACACCCUCUUGGAAUCGAUGGCUUCAUUGCAAAAUAUACACCUGGGCGAGUUUUUCUAUGCAGUAUGGACAGGCAAAGCAUUGAAAUGAUUCUUGA